rnacentral:tRNA from 1 species
UGGAGUUUAGUGUUAGCGGAUAGCACGCUGGGUUGUGACCCCGGAAGGAGAGUUCGAAUCUCUGNCUCCAACCA